rnacentral:lncRNA from 1 species
UGAAAUUCCUACACACUGGCAAAGUUAAAAAAAAGAAAAAAACAACAACAAAAAAACACAUUCCUACUAUUGGUUGGUUGAUUGCUGGCCUAAAUAUUUCUGUCAUAGAAAACAUCUACUAGAACUGUGGCUUCAGGAAACCCUCUAAGGGUGAUAUAUUUGUUCAUAUACAUUCAUAUUUCAAAGGUAUAAUUUAUUUCCUGGGCUUCAAGCAUAACCUCCUUGUGGAUGACACUAAAAUAUUUAUUUCCACAGAAAAUCAAUGAUAAAGAAAAAAGUCUAAAAAAAAAAAAGAGAGAGAAAAAAGACAUGUUAUAUACAAAAGAUCAAAGAUAAGAAUGACAACAGAUUUACAGAUACAAAGCAAGGAAAAAAUGAAGACUACAAAAAAACGUUAAC